GGGGCUGAUCAGGAUCGACAGGAGAUGGUCAGACAAGACGGUGCAUGUCGAGGUGGUGGCGAGGCCUCGUUUCCGCCAUAAAGCAUGGCGGAUCCGCUGCGCAGUUUAGCGGAAAACACGUCACACAACAAAAAUGCUGACAAAAUCAGCUGGAGCAACAGGUCCUUUGGGCCUGUGGCUCUUCCUCUCGCUGCCUAAUUAGGUUCAGCGACGUUUCUUAAGUCUUUAGCCUUGGAGGCUUUUGAAACGACGGUGACAAGGCUAGUCGCGUCCGUUCGCUUUCGACGAACGCGGUGAAACGCUGGAAAGCUCGUUCCUUGGCAUCCUGGCUGUGGGAGUCCUUGGAAUAAAAUGAAAAUACAGCCUGAACAUGGAGAACCGCUUGUGUGAGUCUCACUGGACGUGGGUGCAAUUCCCACCAGCUCCACCA
rnacentral:tmRNA from 1 species